rnacentral:lncRNA from 1 species
CAGCACUCCAGCUGUGGGGUUUCAUUGUUUUAAGUUGCUGUCCCUAAAUUGUAAAAUAAUCUCUACCUCAGCUGUAGAUGCUACUAGGAGAUGCUUUGGUGCGUUCUGCUCUCUGUCAUCCAUGACAAACACUUGUCUAGGCUUUCAUUUCUUAUAAAUGGGAACAAGUAGUUUGUGUUUUGCCAGAAGUGUGAUGCUAUCAACAUCUUGCAAAUCUACAAGCAGCUCAUUCACCCAUAUGUUCACCAAACGCCCUUCAGCUCUAUCUGGGCAUCCCAUAUCUGUCUAAAAGCCAUCUGGAAUAAUGCAUUGCCAACUUCUGAUCUUAAGUACAGUAGUAACUUUCUGAGAUCAUGCUUGCUAAAAUGACUAAAUUUGGAAAGAUUAUAAAAUUACACUGUAACAGAGGAGCCUGUUGGAUGCUUUGUAUCCCCCAAAGCACACUACACUGUUCUUUUUAGUCUUUUUAAUGAAGUGUAAAAAUAGUAAACGGCUUGAUCUGCAUCAAUUCCACAAUAACUUCUGGGAGCAAUUUCUCUAUCAUUUUGGCUUUCUCUUAAUCUGCCUUUGUCCCUUCUUUAUCAAUUGCAUUUUCAAAUAACAUUAAUGGCGUUUGUCACUGCAAGCUUCUGUCUCCUUAACCUCACUUGUCAUCCAGUCUUUCUUUGCCUUGUUAUGUUUAUCCACUGACUUCUCCUACACAUAACUGUUGCCUCCAUACUUUGCCAUUUCUGUCUGAGCUGGAGUGACUUUGAAAGAUACCUUAGGCUUUUGUGAGGACAGAAAUAACAUCUUCCAAAGAGAUUUACAAAAUUUAUAAGCCUGUAGACAUCAUGGGGAAUUACAGCUUGCUAGAAUUCCUAGUUAGAGCUAGCUACUGAGAUGUUUUGUCUUUAGCAAUGAAAAAGGAUGUUUGCAUCAAUAGCAGAGGUGAAAUUCUGGGCUCAAAAUAUGAGUGUGAUCCUCCUGAAGAUGGUUGCAGCCCCUCUUCAUUUCUCUCAGCAAGUUAAUGAUACCUUUUGCUCUUUGGGAAAAAUCACUCCAGAAAACUCUCUGAAAGGUUGGCUACUGAAAAGAUUUGUUCAUAUUUUCUCAGUUAUAUAUCUUUAUCAAAUUGCCAGUGGGAAAACAAUGUGCUCUGGAAUUUGA